UAGUGUGACCCUAAUUGACUUUGGGGAUGAGCAAAAUUUCCACGGUGACUGUGGGGAAAUUCACAAUCAAAUUGAAACUAGAUUUUAACAGGAAGGGAGAACAAAUUCAAGUUGGUUAUUCUCAAGCUUUUGUCGCGCAUUUUGUCAACUCAAGCCAUUUGUCCACAUGAUGUCAAGUCAGGGGUGCCUGAACUUCAUUGGUGCUUCUGUUUUCCCCUCCACUGCAGGAAUGAGCGGAGACAGACUCUGGUUUUUGUUUUGUCAGUGAUAUUUGGUUUAGUGCUGCUACAAAAAAGGACAAACUCCGACUGCAACGGACAAUCAAAACUGCUGAAAGGAUUGUCGGUACCCCCCUACCCACCCUUGAGGACUUGCACGCUGCCAGAACUAAGACAAGAGCCUGCUAAAUCCUCUCGGACCCUCCACAUCCCGGUGACCGGCUCUUCCCUCAGAUUGGCCUUCCCGACGGCGCAUACUAAAUCUCCUUUGGACUGGAAACCAAUACGGCAUUUGACUCCAGUAUUGAGCCCGAACUCUGCCAGAAGCCUAUUGAUCGGAGCUGUGUGGAUCUCAGAUUCUUUUUUAUUUAUUUUAGCAGUGGCUUGACCUUGGAAUCGUGUGUCCUUCCCUUGGUGCAUCAUAACUUUCCAUUCUCUCUGCAAUAUCUUUCUUUUUUAAAAGAGAAAACUGGGAUGCUGCUUUCAUUUCGAACAAAAUAUCCCAUCAUCCAUCCAUCCAUUUUCUAUUGCGCUUCUCCUCAUUAUGACCAAUCGCAGGCACAUUUAAACAAACAACCAUUCACCUUCACAUUCACACCUAUGGACAAUUUAGUCUUCAAUUAACCAAGCAUGCAUGUUUUGGCGAAUGGGCGAAGAAGCCUGAGUACCCGAAAAUAACCCACGUUCACACAGGAAGGCCCAAGCCAGGAUUCAAACCCAGGACCUCUCUACAGUGAGGCAGAGGCGCUAACCACUUGUGCAACGUACUGGAAAUCCAAAUAUUUUUUUAUAGGGUCACAGUUAACCACUGUAAAUUGUAAAAACAACAAAAUACCAAGAGAUGACGUGUAUUGUGACGCUGGAAUCUUGUUACUUUGAAUGUGAUUUUGCUCACUUACAUGUAUGAUAUGAUAUGAGUGUAAACAUUAUUGUAUGUAAACUGACACAAUUAAAUAGACUAUACUGGGAUGUUAAGGUACAGAUAAGAUGUAAUUAGUUUAAACAAACUCCAAUGUGAUUCAUAAUUGUUGAGGUACACACACACACACACACACACACACACACAGUUUUUACGUGAUGCAGCAGAUGGGCAAUCCUAUGCUCAAAAAAAUUUUGUUUUUCAUGACUGUGUUACUUGUUAACAGAAGGACCAAAACACCACAUGACAACAUAACCUUGUUGGCAGCGGAAGAAAACAUGGUUUUGGCAAACAAAGUAACUCAAUUAAAACUUCUCUUUUUAAAUACACAACAUAGAAUUCUCUGUUUUAUUUUUAGUUUGACAGUAAACUUCAAGUGGGUGUUGCAACAUACAGCUUGGAGCCUCUUUUUGAUUGAUUGAUUUCGGGUCACUCGCAUCUCAAGGCACCACUUUUAUAACCUAUGAUGGAUAAAUGGUGGAAACUCCAGCACCCCCGUGACCCUAGUGAGGAUAAGCGGUAAAGAAAAAUGGAUGGAUGGAUGGGUUACAUUCUUAACUUGCACUCACUAAUGUAUAUGUAUAAAAAGCAAAAGGGUAGCAUGUUAUUGUUGACAUUUGCAGUGGUUGCAUCAGUUUAUCUGAGGGGAAGCCCACACCCUGCAGUGUCGUUGCAUGUGAACAUCAUCUUUCAUCAGCUCUGGCCUCUCCCAGUCUACUAUGUACCUAAACCAAUCUUGGACAGGCAUAAAUACCCAGCAUGCCUCUGACAUCAUGGAGUUUCCACUGCGGCUGGCUUGGCUGACUUUCGAGAUAGCAGCUUUGAUAUCUCACACCGCUGCCUGGCUCGCAGGGGUUCCCCACCCGCCCACUGGCCAUAAAUGGGCUUUGGAGCUGCUGUUUGUGUGGCGGGACGCAACUUGAUAGCUCAUUGCACUCGUCUAACGCAGUUCACGGUCAGUGCAAGAGGCAAGAAAGUGACAGCAGAACUUUAAAGGGACGUUUGUUGAUUUCAAAACCUUUCAACCCGCAGAUUCACUUACAACUAAAAUUGUCUCUAACGCAGCGAUCUCUGACCCACUAAACAACCAGACAGAGGAUAUGGUUGUUCACCGCUCUUAGUUGUUGCCUAAGUGGUGAGAGAUAUAAAUUUUCACAUUUUCCAUCCCUUCACAGGGAUGCGUGCUCACACGGAGCUACGACACCUCUAACUUUAGUCUCUCACUCUAUUCCACUUGCGCUAAUCCUGUUAUGAUGCACUCUCGGUCUAUCAAGAGAGCUUAGCUUCCACGCUCGCAUCGAAGAAGUUCAAGGCUUACGUGCGCAUUUUACAUACAUUGGGGAUGUUGCUUUAAUCACAUGCACAUUUUAUUCAAC